rnacentral:rRNA from 1 species
AGUGAACGCUGGCGGUAGGCCUAACCCUUCCAAGUCGACCGGAACCACAGUAAGACCUUGCUCUAACGGGGGGCGAGUGCCGAACGGGGGAGGAAACCACGGAAUCCACCUUUUUCGUGGGGGAAAACGAAGGAAAACUAACCCUAUACCCGCAUACACCUUACGGGUAAAACAAGGGGAUCUCCGGACUUUCCCCGAUUGAAUGACCGGAUGUCGGAUUAGCUAGUUGGCGGGGUAAAGGCCCACCAAGGCGACGAUCCGUAGCUGGUCUGAGAGGAUGAUCAGCCACACUGGAACUGAGACACGGUCCAGACUCCUACGGGAGGCAGCAGUGGGGAAUAUUGGACAAAGGGCGCAAGCCUGAUCCAGCCAUACCGCGUGGGUGAAGAAGGCCUUCGGGUUGUAAAGCCCUUUUGUUGGGAAAGAAAAGCAGCAGGUUAAUACCCCGCUGUUCUGACGGUACCCAAAGAAUAAGCACCGGCUAACUUCGUG